AAAUUGAAGAGUUUGAUCAUGGCUCAGAUUGAACGCUGGCGGCAGGCUUAACACAUGCAAGUCGAACGGUAGCAGGGAGGAAGCUUGCUUUCUUUGCUGACGAGUGGCGGACGGGUGAGUAAUACUUGGGGAUCUGGCUUAUGGAGGGGGAUAACGACGGGAAACUGUCGCUAAUACCGCGUAAUGUCUAAGGACUAGAGGGUG
rnacentral:rRNA from 1 species